GAAGCUCGGAUAGAGACUUUCUGUUGGCGAAGUCCGAUAGAAAUCCGAUUGCUAGAGAAGUCCGUCUGGGAUUCGCCCAAUGUGGAAACUCGCCUGAAGAUGAUCCGUUGGAGAAGUUCGAUUUUAUGAAGGAUCUGGUGGAGGGUCGGCCGGUGAUGGACUUCGGAUGGCAUUGGGGAGGUUCGGCAGACAUCGGAGGCGAUCGGUCGUUGUAAGAAUCCAGCCGCUGGAGCCCG
rnacentral:lncRNA from 1 species